UUGUCCGGAAUUACUGGGUGUAAAGGGUGCGUAGGCGGGGUUGCAAGUCAGGCGUGAAAUCCAUCGGCUUAACCGGUGAACUGCGCUUGAAACUGUAAUUCUUGAGUGAAGUAGAGGCAGGCGGAAUUCCGAGUGUAGCGGUGAAAUGCGUAGAUAUUCGGAGGAACACCAGUGGCGAAGGCGGCCUGCUGGGCUUUUACUGACGCUGAGGCACGAAAGCAUGGGGAGCAAACAGGAUUAGAUACCCUGGUAGUCCAUGCUGUAAACGAUGAAUGCUAGGUGUGGGGGGACUAACCCCUUCCGUGCCGGAGUAAACACAAUAAGCAUUCCACCUGGGGAGUACGACCGCAAGGUUGAAACUCAAAGGAAUUGACGGGGGCCCGCACAAGCAGGGGAGUAUGUGGUUUAAUUC
rnacentral:rRNA from 1 species